UACGGGGGGAGCAAGCGUUGUUCGGAUUUACUGGGCGUAAAGGGCGCGUAGCCGGCCACCGCAAGUCGACUGUGAAAUCUCCGGGCUUAACUCGGAAAGGUCAGCCGAUACUGCGGGGCUAGAGUGCAGAAGGGGCAACUGGAAUUCUCGGUGUAGCGGUGAAAUGCGUAGAUAUCGAGAGGAACACCUGCGGCGAAGGCGGGUUGCUGGGCUGACACUGACGCUGAGGCGCGAAAGCUAGGGGAGCGAACGGG
rnacentral:rRNA from 1 species